rnacentral:rRNA from 1 species
ACGAACGCUGGCGGCGUGCUUAACACAUGCAAGUCGAGCGGAAAGGCCCUUUCGGGGGUACUCGAGCGGCGAACGGGUGAGUAACACGUGAGUAAUCUGCCCUUCACUUGGGGAUAACCUCCGGAAACGGUGGCUAAUACCCGAUAUGACCGGGACCUGCAUGGGUUUUGGUGGAAAGUUUUUUCGGUGGAGGAUGUGCUCGCGGCCUAUCAGCUUGUUGGUGGGGUAAUGGCCUACCAAGGCUUCGACGGGUAGCCGGCCUGAGAGGGUGACCGGCCACACUGGGACUGAGACACGGCCCAGACUCCUACGGGAGGCAGCAGUGGGGAAUAUUGGACAAUGGGCGGAAGCCUGAUCCAGCAACGCCGCGUGAGGGAUGACGGCCUUCGGGUUGUAAACCUCUUUCACCGAUGACGAAGCGCAAGUGACGGUAGUCGGAGAAGAAGCACCGGCCAACUACGU